rnacentral:rRNA from 1 species
AACGCGAAAGGCCCCUUCGGGGGCCGAGUAGAGUGGCGCACGGGUGAGUAACACGUAGGUAAUCUACCUCUGGGUGGGGAAUAGCGACCGGAAACGGUCGCUAAUACCGCAUAAUGCAGCGGCACCACAUGGUGACAGUUGUUAAAGCGGGGGAUCGUAAGACCUCGCGCCUAGAGAUGAGCCUGCGGCGGAUUAGCUAGUUGGCAGGGUAACGGCCUACCAAGGCGACGAUCCGUAGCCGGCCUGAGAGGGCGGACGGCCACACUGGCACUGACAUACGGGCCAGACUCCUACGGGAGGCAGCAGUCGGGAAUUUUGGGCAAUGGGCGAAAGCCUGACCCAGCAACGCCGCGUGAAGGAUGAAGCUUUUCGGAGUGUAAACUUCAUAAGAAUGGGACGAAUAAGGAGGGGUUAACACCCCCUUUGAUGACGGUACCAUUUGUAAGCUCCGGCUAACUCCGUGCCAGCAGCCGCGGUAAUACGGGGGGAGCAAGCGUUGUUCGGAUUUACUGGGCGUAAAGGGCGCGUAGGCGGCGCAACAAGUCACUUGUGAAAUCUCCGGGCUUAACCCGGAGCGGCCAAGUGAUACUGUCGUGCUAGAGUGCGGAAGGGGCUACUGGAAUUCUCGGUGUAGCGGUGAAAUGCGUAGAUAUCGAGAGGAACACCUGCGGCGAAGGCGGGUAGCUGGGCCGACACUGACGCUGAGGCGCGAAAGCCAGGGGAGCGAACGGGAUUAGAUACCCCGGUAGUCCUGGCCUUAAACGAUGGAUGCUUGG